rnacentral:rRNA from 1 species
AACGAACGCUGGCGGCAUGCCUAACACAUGCAAGUCGAACGAACCCUUCGGAGUUAGUGGCGCACGGGUGCGUAACACGUGGGAAUCUGCCCUUUGCUUCGGAAUAACAGUUAGAAAUGACUGCUAAUACCGGAUGAUGUCGCAAGACCAAAGAUUUAUCGGCAAAGGAUGAGCCCGCGUAGGAUUAGCUAGUUGGUGGGGUAAAGGCCUACCAAGGCGACGAUCCUUAGCUGGUCUGAGAGGAUGAUCAGCCACACUGGGACUGAGACACGGCCCAGACUCCUACGGGAGGCAGCAGUGGGGAAUAUUGGACAAUGGGCGAAAACCUGAUCCAGCAAUGCCGCGUGAGUGAUGAAGGCCUUCGGGUUGUAAAGCUCUUUUACCAGGGGUGAUAAUGACAGUACCUGGAGAAUAAGCUCCGGCUAACUCCGUGCCAGCAGCCGCCGCCG